rnacentral:misc_RNA from 1 species
CUAAGGAGCAUAUGUCACGCACUCAUCGACUGUAUGAGUGGUGGCGCUCAUGGGUGGAAUCAUAAACAAGAAAAACCUUUGAUCAGCUCUGUUGGACUGAGUACCUGGUGUUCUUUUAGAACGCCGGCGGAAAUGUUGAGCAGUCGUUGGAAAGGGUUUGCAAACACACUAUUGGGUUAUGAAACAACAAUGGCUAGUACGUGUACUAGUGGUUGGUUGUUUUGUAUGCCAGGUCAUGACCGGUUGUCCUUAGAUCAUGUAAGCAAACGUUUGUUUGUUUGUGUGUGGGGCGGUUUGGUUGUGGGUUUGGUCGUUGUUUGAGAACUGGAUAGUGGACGCGAGCAUCUUUAUUAAAAGUUUUUGGUCCGCACAUAAUUUUCUUCUGUCUCCCAUGAUGUGGGGGAUGAGGUUUUAUGGUGCGGUUUUCUUAACUAGUGAUAAUUAGUUUUUUGUGUGUUUGUGU